GGAUUUCUUUCUGGAGGUCUCUUCUUGGUGAAGUUUUCUCCUACAAACCUGGAAUCCUCUGUUACAGGGCUACUUUAAUUAUCAGAGAGCCUGCACUGAUGUGAGGAACUACUGAGGUUGAUGCUAGUAUGGAAAUCACAGUACUACAGAAAAAUGACAAGAACCUGGUGUGGGACCGUUAAUUGGGAUCUCUUCUGUUUCUGAAGACUUACAGUGUUCAAGAAACAACUGAAAGCCCAACAGGAGGGGCUGUGGGGCAAGUCUCAGGCCUUCUUAUUGCACCCUGCACCUUCUAUUGUAAUGCUGCUGCACUUCAGCCACCCCCAGCUGUCCUUCAAGCCUCCCCAAGGCUCUUCUCUGCUGCACUGCCCACAAAUCACUGUCACCUGAUAGUCUUGAAGCUGGAGGCCAUCUGUGACCAUAGUGACUACUGAUUUAUGGAAGCACACCCAUCUUUGUUGUUAUUCAUGCCACCUUUUUCAUGCAUUUUUCCCUUACUCCCUGAAUGUCUUGUCUUGGGAACAUGGAGUGCAAGGACAAUGGGGUGGGAACUGCCUAAAGCAAUGAAUAUGAGGUGCAAAAUAGAUGAAGUAGGGCUUUGUGAAAAAUAUAUUGAGAAAUAAUAGUAUGUUUGGAGUAGAUACUUGUCAAAACAAGAUUGUAUCAAAUAUAAUUAUAGAGGAGAACAAAUCAACCAAGCUAUGUAGGCCAGAAUCGCUGAUCAUGCUAAAGACUGGAAGGAUCACGGAGG